GUCCCUGUGGCGCAGUGGACAGCGCGCUGGACUUCUAAUCCAGAGGUCGAGGGUUCAAUCCCCUCCAGGGAUG
rnacentral:tRNA from 1 species